AUGAACGCUGGCGGCGUGCUUAACACAUGCAAGUCGAACGGUGAAGCCCAGCUUGCUGGGUGGAUCAGUGGCGAACGGGUGAGUAACACGUGAGCAAUCUGCCCCUGACUCUGGGAUAAGCGCUGGAAACGGCGUCUAAUACCGGAUAUGAGCUACGGCCGCAUGGUCGGUAGUUGGAAAGAAUUUCGGUCAGGGAUGAGCUCGCGGCCUAUCAGCUUGUUGGUGAGGUAAUGGCUCACCAAGGCGUCGACGGGUAGCCGGCCUGAGAGGGUGACCGGCCACACUGGGACUGAGACACGGCCCAGACUCCUACGGGAGGCAGCAGUGGGGAAUAUUGCACAAUGGGCGCAAGCCUGAUGCAGCAACGCCGCGUGAGGGAUGACGGCCUUCGGGUUGUAAACCUCUUUUAGCGAGGAAGAAGCGAAAGUGACGGUACUCGCAGAAAAAGCGCCGGCUAACUACGUGCCAGCAGCCGCGGUAAUACGUAGGGCGCAAGCGUUAUCCGGAAUUAUUGGGCGUAAAGAGCUCGUAGGCGGUUUGUCGCGUCUGCUGUGAAAACUGGAGGCUCAACCUCCAGCCUGCAGUGGGUACGGGCAGACUAGAGUGCGGUAGGGGAGAUUGGAAUUCCUGGUGUAGCGGUGGAAUGCGCAGAUAUCAGGAGGAACACCGAUGGCGAAGGCAGAUCUCUGGGCCGUAACUGACGCUGAGGAGCGAAAGGAUGGGGAGCAAACAGGCUUAGAUACCCUGGUAGUCCAUCCCGUAAACGUUGGGAACUAGUUGUGGGGUCCAUUCCACGGAUUCCGUGACGCAGCUAACGCAUUAA
rnacentral:rRNA from 1 species